rnacentral:rRNA from 1 species
UACGGAGGGUGCAAACGUUGUCCGGAAUCACUGGGCGUAAAGAGCAUGUAGGUGGUUUGGUAAGUGGAUGAUAAAAGACCGAUGCUCAACAUCGGGCCUGUUGUCCAUACUGCCUGACUUGAGGAUAGCAGGGGUACGCGGAACUUUCGGUGUAGGAGUGAAAUCCGUAGAUAUCGAAAGGAACACCAAUGGCGAAGGCAGCGUACUGGGCUAUUUCUGACACUGAGAUGCGAAAGCGUGGGGAGCGACCGGG